rnacentral:lncRNA from 1 species
GAAGGAGGUGGGAUCACCUCUGGGGACACAAAAAUGUAAUUAGGUCACUACCUUGCAGACCCAUAAGCAUUGAAGCAUGAAUUGAAGCAUGAAGGGUGUAUGAAUUAUGUAUGAAUGAAGUAUGAAUCUAAUAAUGUAUGAAGUAGGAAUUAGGCAUGAAUGAUAACAUGAAUUUAAGCAUUAGAUUGGGCAUGAGAUGGUGUAGAAAUUGUGUACAAAGAAUAGGAUAGCACGAAGAUUAUUGUGCUCUGUUUUUCCAGAAAUUUAGGUUUUCUUUAUAUGAGUUGUUAGGUAUUGUCAUCAUUCUUAUUAAGCAUG